AUUUGGGGCUAAAUUUACCAAUUUAAUGAGGGCAGCAGAGAAGGAAAAGAAGGAGAAACGUGUUUACAUGGAAAAAAUAUGACUUUUAGGAAAGAUAAAUGGGUCCUUAGGAGAAUGAUAAGGAGUUCUGUGACAACGUCUGUUUGGGUUAUCAUGUGAAAAGAGUCAAUCUUUCCUUAGUUGCUCCCAGGGAGGGGAUUUAGGACAAUCUGGAAUUCUUUGGGGAGGCUCUGCUUUUAGGCAGAUAAGGGGGAAAAACAGCUUAUUCUCAAACGCCUUCAGCUCAGAAUAAUCUUUAUGUUACAGUGGCAUAUUCUGGACUCCUUCCCCUACAACAGCCCCUGGCUGGUCUUCCUGCUUCCUCUCUCCCUCUCUCUAGUUCCUUCUCCAUCCCUGCCAAAGCGAUCACUUCAAAAUGCAAAUAGGACUGUGUCAAUCCCAUCACAGCUCCCACACCUCUCCCUGCUUUGGACCUAUCCCAUAGCCCCAGGGGGGAAAACCCAAAUCUCUGACAAGAUGUCCUGGUGCUCUGGCCUGCCGCUGUCGUCCCAGGCCUCCUCUCUCACUGAGCUCUGCCCAGGCUGGCACUGACUGCAUGUUCUGAUCAAUCCUUUACUGAGGCAACUCCUCCUCUCCCUGGGUCAUGCAGCUAACCUCACGUUCCCAAGGAGGCCCUCUCUUCUCAUCGUGGUAAUUCCCCACAUUAGAAGCUUUCUGAGCCCCAGGGACCUUUCCUUCCCAGUGCUGGGCACGGUGGCUGCGGACGGGACUCUGGGAGGACAGGGACCAGGUCGAUGUCAGUACACAGUGUAUCUAUGUCACCAGCAACUCAAGGGCACAGGGUGGACGCUCAGGACAUUUGUUAUGAAUGAAUAAGGAAAAGAGGUGUCUAAGGAAAGGACCAGUGGAGGGGUGAGGUGAGUCUUUAGGGCACGACUACCAAGCUCUCACUGUACCAGAGACACUCUUAAGCAUCUGGAGAAAACGAAAGACCCCUGCUUGGAACCAUGUUUUGCAAUGCAGAAAAUAAAGGAUAUCGCACUACAAAAAGACUACUAAUGUUGAAGUGCAAAUAUCAAAAUAUAAAAACAUACAAAUUUGUGAUAUAGGAAUACCUGUGAUUCUAUAUUAACCCAUUAAAUUGUAGGAUAGAGAGGAAGGACUACUCAGUACCAGAAUCACGAAGCAGCAGUGAGUGCCUAACUGCUGUGUUGAAGGGUCUGCAACACCUGCAGUGAGUACGAAAGCCCCUGCGAUUUCUGUGUGACAGUCCUAAGCUCUGCUAAUUCUGCUGGACUUUGCUGCCCGCAUUCAUAAUUGAAGGAAAUUCCAAGUUUCAGUUAGAGGUUAGUGAAAAUGAAUGCUUUUUUUUUCUGUCUCAGCUCUUGGGCCUCCUCAAUUCUGGAUCCCUGGACCACAGGUUAAGAAGCUCCCAGAAGAAGGAUGGAAGGACCUGCCACAGCUGAAGGCUGUCCCAGAGAAUCUCCAGGAAGGCAGAAAAAAAGCUGAGGGCUAGCAUGCAAUCCCAAUACAAAAGCACGUUUUCACUCGGCCUGGGCUGGAAGAGGAAGGCAUAACCCACCGGCUCCCAGUCUGAACCCACUCACAAGAGGUCUCUCGCCAGGGUCCCUUCGGAGUCCCUGCAGCCAGUUCUGGGAACCAGGACUCUUAGGAAUGGCGCCCAAGCAGGGACGUGGCCAGGGCACCCCCUAGUGCCUACCCAGAGACUUAGCUGGAGGAAUCCCUUUCUUGUUUGUACCCGUCUUCGUUCCACAGAGGACUGGGAAAGCUUGCAGUUAGUACAGAAUAAAGGUGUAAGCGCCCUGUGGUAAAGGGAGAGGA